rnacentral:rRNA from 1 species
GACGAAGGGGGCUAGCGUUGUUCGGAAUUACUGGGCGUAAAGCGAGUGUAGGUGGUUGUCCAAGUUGGAUGUGAAAGCCUUGAGCUCAACUCAAGAAAUGCAUUCAGGACUGGGCGGCUAGAGGACCGGAGAGGAUAGUGGAAUUCCCAGUGUAGAGGUGAAAUUCGUAGAUAUUGGGAAGAACACCGGUGGCGAAGGCGGCCAUCUGGACCGCAACUGACGCUGAGGCGCGAAAGCGUGGGGAGCAAACAGG